rnacentral:rRNA from 1 species
GACAGAGGGUGCAAACGUUGUUCGGAAUUACUGGGCGUAAAGCGAGUGUAGGCGGUCUUGAAAGUCGGAUGUGAAAGCCCUGGGCUCAACCCAGGAAGUGCAUUCGAUACUCCGAGGCUAGAGUACUGGAGAGGUGGGUGGAAUUCUCGGUGUAGAGGUGAAAUUCGUAGAUAUCGAGAGGAACACCUGCGGCGAAGGCGGGUUGCUGGGCUGACACUGACGCUGAUGCGCGAAAGCCAGGGGAGCGAACGGG